rnacentral:tRNA from 1 species
UCCCUUGUGACUCAGCUGGUAGAGAAUCUGCCUGAAAUUCAGGAGAUCUAGGUUUGAUUCCUGGGUUGGGAA